UUCAUUGUUUGGUUUAUCUCCACAGGCGGUUGGCCCGAUCCACCUUGUUACUCAUUCCACUCUUUGGGAUUCACUACACAGUGUUUGCCUUUUAUCCAGAGAAUGUCAGCAAAAGGGAGCGCUUGGUUUUUGAACUGGGGCUUGGUUCCUUCCAGGGUUUCGUGGUCGCUGUGCUAUACUGCUUUUUGAAUGGGGAGGUGCAAUCCGAAAUCAAGAGAAAAUGGCGGAGCUGGAAAGUCAACCGUUAUUUUGCUGUGGAUUUCAAACACCGCCAUCCCUCCCUGGCAAGCAGCGGUGUCAACGGGGGGACUCAACUGUCCAUCUUGAGCAAGAGCAGCUCGCAGAUUCGGAUGUCCAGCGUCCAUGCCGAGAACUUGGCCACAUGAGCCCGUAAGACCCCGCUUCUUCUCCCACCGAUUAACCCUACUUUGGACACCACGAAAGGACCAUAUUUAGGCCUAAAUAUGAUGGCUUUCGGGGUAUUACUUCCGUCUGCCUUUUUUAAAAAUAAUAAUAAUAAUAAACAAAUCCACCUCCCUUUGAUGGAAAGUUUCUGGGGUUCUGAAGCUUGUCAUCUCUGAUGGGUGGAAAAGGAGCUCCACAAAGAGGUCCCAUCUAGGGGAACGAGGUCCUCCAGACCAAAAUCACCUCGAUACACCCGUUGUCCCAAGAGCUGAAACCCUCCCAUCACUUCCGUUCCUCAUUUCCCUGGUACCAUUGAUGAAUUUUUGGGGUCUCCAAGACGAGGGCCAUGAGUGAACAUCUCAUGAAGUUGGGGUGUCUCAUGUCCAAACGCUUCUGAUCCCAACAUCUUGGACCACCGGUGUCCUCUUUUGGGACCUAGAAUGUCAUGCACCGUAAUGGUUUCCACUUACCUUCGCUAUCAUUUUGGAACUGUAAGCAUGCAUGCACGCUUACUUUGCUCAUGCGCAGCACUUCUGCACAUGCUCAGAGCAUCCAUGAUGACGUCCAGGCAGCUGGGUGGAGCCUCCCGCCGCUACCGGUUCACCCAAACCAGUAGAAACCCACCACUGGUUAUGCAAACACUGAGCCAGGGGUGACCCCCCUCACCCCCCCCAAUGGUGGUGGGCAUUGCGGUCGCAGAGACGGAUCCUACCAGAAUUGGUUGAGAGCCCUCAUUCCUUAACCACCUCAUUCCUCAGAUGGAAAAUCCCCCAACCCUACAAGUGGAAGGUCUCCGAUUUUCCCCCUUUGAGGAAACUAUCUGAAUUAUUUUGUUUUGUUUCUUUCGUUAAGCUACGGAUCUUCUAAAAUGGCCAUCUCAGUACCAUAGAGUUAUAUUUUUUGAGACAGAUGGUUUUUUUUUCUUUCUUUCCUUGUUUUUUUUUUUUAAAAAUAGAACUAAUAUGGAGAUAGAUUAUAUGUAUUUCCCGACAUUAAGUGCCGAUUAAUUCCGGAGAUACUUUUUCUCCCAGACUUCUGACACGACCCCUUCCAUGGCUAACGAGUGACAGAAAAUAGGGUGAGGGGAGGGACUUCGAAGGGAGGAUUUGGGUUGACUAUCAAAAAGUGUGUGCGGCAUGUUAUCAAGGCAUGGUUCACCCCAAAAGGGCAGAUGGGUUAUGUAGUUGGAGGAGGAGAUUCAUUGGGGGGAUCUUAAGAGAGCCACCUGCCUUUUCUUCCUCCUUCCUUCCUUUUUUUUGUUUCCUUCCUUCUUUCCUUCCUCCCUCCCUCUCUUUUCUUUCUCUUUCCCUUUCAUUUUUAUCUUUUUUCCUUGCUUCCCUCCAUCUCUUCCUUUCUUCCUCCCUUCCUCCCCUUUCUUCCUUCCUUCUUCCCUUUUUUCUUUCCUUUCUCCUCCAUCCCUUUUUUCUUUUUUCCUCUCCCUCCCUCCCUUCCUUCUCUCCCUCCCUCUCCCUUCCUUUUUUGUUUCUUUCCUUCCUCUCCCUCUCUUCCUUCCUUCCUCCCUCCUUUCUCUUUCCCUUUCAUUUUUAUCUCUUUUCCUUCCUUCCUUCCCUCCCUCUCUUCCUUUCUCCCUCACUUUCUCUCCUUCCUUCCUUCCUUCCUUCCUCCUUUUUUCAUUUUUUCUUUCCUUUCUCCUCCAUCCCUUUUUUUCCUCUCCCUCCCUCCCUUCUCUCCCUCCCUCCCUCUCCCUUCCUUCCUUUUUUCCCUUCCUCUCCCUCUCUUCCUUCCUCCCUUUUCUCUUUCUCUUUCAUUUUUAUCUUUUUCCUUGCUUCCCUCCAUCUCUUCCUUUCUCCCUCUCCCUCCCUCCCUCUCUUCUUUCUCCCUCCUUUUCUCUCCUUCCUUCAUCCCUCCCUUUUUUCAUUUUUUUCUUUCUUUUCUCCUCCCCUCUUUUUUCUUUUUUCCUCUCCAUCCUUCCCUUCUCUCCAGUGGUGGGAUUCAGCCAGUUCGCAGCACUUCGGUUGUUAACUUUCUGAGCAGUUUGGUGAACUGAUUGUUGGAAGAAAUCAUUAGGGCAGAGAAGCGGUUGUUAAAUUAUUUCAAUCCCACCACUGCUUCUCUCCCUUCCUUCCUUCCUUCCUUCCUUCCUUCCUUCCUUCCUUCCUUCCUUCCUUUCCUUUCCUUUCCUUUCCUUUCCUUUCCUUUCCUUCCUCUCUCCCUCUUCCUCCCUCCCUCCCUUUCUUCCCCCUAUUUUGCACAGCUGGGGUAUUUUCUAUGAUUAGCCAUUAUUACUAGUAAAAAAAAAAAAGAGGGUGGAAAUUUUUUUAUUAAGGCUUGGAAGGAAGAAGUGGGUUCUUCUAACCCCCACCUUCAAUUCAGAGCCCCUUCUUUUGCGUAGCUGCUUUCAGCCGAACUCAACCAACGAUGUCAGUUUUUUUCCCCGUGAGACUCUUGUGUCAUGCACGACGUCUCCAGAGGACUUUUGUGGUGUUUCGUGGGCUGUGUGAGUCUCUCCUCCAUGUUUCAAGAUCCUCUCUAAUCGGUGUGACUUCAUAUGUGUGUGUUUGCGUGUGUGUGUGCAUACCUUAAAGAGGACUAUCCUAUUUUAUUAAAAUGGUAAGGAAUAAAUGCUCACCGCAGCUAAGAAAUGGAAGAAGAAAUUCUGCUUAAUAAAAGGUUUGGGGAAGGGAAAAGGGAAAAUGCUUAAGUUGCUUCCUACACAUUGAGUAGCGUGAGAUUCUUUGCACCUGCUCCUUCCACCCUGCAGUUUUGGGGCGGCUUUCUACUACAGGUAGUCUUUGACUUAUAACCACAACUGAGCCCAACAUUUCUGUGGCUAAGUGAGAAAUUUGUUAAGUGAGUUUUGCCCCAUUUUACAACCUUCCUUGCCACAGUUGUUAAGUGAGCCACUGUAGUUGUUGACAGUCAGUCACACGGUUGUUAUGUGAAUCUGGCUUCCCCUUCUGACUUUGUUUCUCAGAAGGUUGCAAAAGGGGAUCACAUGACCUCGGGAUGCUGCAGCCGUCAUAAAUACGAGACAGUUGCCAAGUGUCUGAAUUUUGGUCAUGGGAUCCUGGGGAUGCUGCAGCGGUCGUAAUUUUGAAAAAUGGUCAUAAGUCAUUUUUUUCAGUGCCGUUUUAACUUCGAACGGUCACUAAAUGAACUGUUACAAGUCAAGGACUACCUGUGUAAAGAAGGACAGGAUAAAAUGCCAUUUAACCAUUGUCACAUAAUUCUUUGGUUCUCCAGGUUUCUCUUGGAAGCAACUUAUCUCUCCUUAUAUAAGCCACAACCAAGGUUUUCAUUUUGGCUUACACUCCAACUCACUUGUAUAUUUGGUGUAGAAUCUGCAAUAAAAGGGGAUUUGAAUGAUGGACAGGCUGGGUUCUAAUUGUCCUGAGCUAUCUUGGCAAAGCUGUCAGUACCAGUGCUUUGAUAGUCUGCAUUCCUUCCUCUGUUGUGCAACUCCUUCCUUCCUUCCUUCCUUCCUUCCUUCCUUCCUUCCUUCCUUCCUUCCUUCCUUCCUUCCUCCCUUUUCCCUUUACUUCCUUUCCUUUCUCCUCCCUCCCUCUCUUUCCUUCUUUCCCUCUGUCUCUCUUUCCUCCCUCCCUCCCUAUCUUUCUCUCCUCUCCUCUUACCUAUUCCUUCCUUCCUCCUCCUUUCCUCUCCUUUCUUUUUUCUUUUCUUUCUCUUCUGUCUUUCUUUCCACCCUUUCCUCUCCUCUCCUCUUCCCUCCCUCCCCUUGCUGCCUUCCUUCCCCUCCCCUCUUCCUCCCCUCCCCUCUUUCUUCCACCCACUCUCCCUCCCUCCCUUUCAUUUAGAGAGCACCGAAAAAUACCCCCCCACCCAGAAGGAGAAAGCCAGAUAAGCUGUGAAUAACACCAGACAAACGAUCAAGCAGAAAACAAUACCUUAAUCAAGGAAUUAUUAAGGAGAAAAUAACAUUUCCACUAACAUUGAGAGGGCAAGCCACUGCUGUAGAUAAACGAAGAGGAAACCCCCUUCCUUUCUAGCCCUGAUGAUGUUACCUACUUGGGGAAUGAAAUGUCUGAAAGAAAACCACCAAACUCAGAGAUCAUCAAGGGCCCCACAGUCCUGAAAUUAAAAUAGUUUGGUGGCAAGAAACCGAGGACAAUUUCUGGGAAAGAUUGAAACCAAGUCCUUUCGAAUUUUCUGGUACAAUCCUCCACUAAAAUGCCUAAAAUUGUAGCAAGAAAUACAGACAACAUACUUUUAAAACACUUGUUACAAAUUAAGGGGAAAUGGACAAAACAGAUGAAUACAGGCAGUCCUCAACUUACAACCAUUCAUUUAGUGACUGUUCAAAGUUACCCCAGCACUGAAAAAAGGGACUUAUGACCAUUUUUCACACUUCUGACCAUUGCAGUUGCCCCCAAGGUCAAAAUUUGCUUGGCAACUGACUCAUAUUUAUGACUGUUUCCCCAGGGGUCACAUGAUCCCCUUUUGCAACCUUCUAACAAGCCACGUCAAUGGAGAAGUUAACUGCCGUGUGACUAACUUAACAAUUGCAGUGGUUCACUUAACAACCAUGGCAAAAAAGAUCGUAAAAUGGGGCAAAAUCCCCCCCAUCAGCCAUCUUGCUGAACAAUGGAAAUUUUGGGCUCAAUUGUGAUUGUAAGUGAAGAACUAUCCGUGUUGGAAAAUUAAAAAGUGAUGGAAGAAUGUACAUAUUGCACAUCUUUUUCCUAAAAGUUCCAUCUCUCUCCCUAAAAUCUCUUAAAAUUAGAGCAAAUUUAAAUCUAUAACUCUUGCUUGAGAGUAAAUCAUAUGGACUGAAUUCCAUUAGCUUCCGAAGGUCUUACUAGUAGACAAUUGUCACAGGAUUACAUACAGAUACUCCUUGUUUUACGACUACCAUUGAGGCCAAAAUUUAUGACACUUGAGCAGGGGAUUGGAUUAGAAAACCAGCUCUGAUAUUCUGUCAUUCAAAUACCCAGCAGGGCUGGACCAUCAGGCAAAGCUAAUCCAAAUUCAUAAUUUUAUACAAUUUUAUAAAGCAAGACAAUUGUUAAGUGACUUUUGCCCCAUUUUAUGACCUUUCUUGCCACAGUUGUUAAGCGAAUCAUCGCAGUUGUUAAGUUAGUCACACGGUUGUUAAGUGAAUCUGGCUUCCCCAUUGACUUUGCUUGUCAGAAGGUUGCAAAAGGGGAUCACAUGGCCCCCAGGAUGCUGCAACCGUCAUAAAUAUGAGUCAGUUGCCAAGCAUCCAAGUUUUGAUCACAUAUGUAUUCUUGGUAGUGCUGCAACAGUCGUUAAGUGUGAAAAAUGGUCAUAACUCACUUUUUUCAGCGCCGUUGUAAUUUCCAACGGUCACUAUAUCAACUGUUUGCAGAUCGAGCACUACCUGUAAUUAAUAAACCAGUGCCAAAUUGCUUUAGAGUAGGCCCACUGGGGGAGUUGGUUUACUUUGGAGUAACGGACUUAAGAUCCUAUGGACUGAUAUUUUUGAAUCCCAGUUUUACAACGUUUUGUGGUUGUGGGAAAAGUUCCCAGUUGCUCUUCUGCACAAAAACAUUUUGUUAUGUUUGUUUUCUCUUGACUGUCCAACAAAAUGAAUGUAUUUGCUGAAUGAAUGAGUCAAGCAUCUCUCUUUUUUUCAUUUGUCAGGCGGUAGAAACCUAAUGGCCAAGAUUUGCUUCUAAAGCUGAUGUAAAUAUCUCUUUUUGCGUUGAAACCGUGCUCUGUUUCUUCUUCUUUUUCCACUGUGAACUAUCUUUUGGAGUUUGAGGAUCUAUGUUAUUAAAAAAGAAAACAAAAAGCAAGUGUAAUUAUAACAAAGUUUAUUGAGAAUAAAAUAUUUGUUGUGA